CUUCCAGGAAAAGCCUCUAAGCUUCAGAUUGUAAGGAAUCGUACCCCAAACCGACACAGGUGGUCGGGUAGAGAAUACCAAGGCGCUUGAGAGAACUCGGGUGAAGGAACUAGGCAAAAUGGUACCGUAACUUCGGGAGAAGGUACGCUCUCGACGGUGAAGUCCCUCGCGGAUGGAGCUAUUGAGAGUCGCAGAUACCAGGUGGCUGCAACUGUUUAUUAAAAACACAGCACUGUGCAAAAUCGUAAGAUGACGUAUACGGUGUGACGCCUGCCCGGUGCCGGAAGGUUAAUUGAUGGGGUUAGACUUCGGUCGAAGCUCUUGAUCGAAGCCCCGGUAAACGGCGGCCGUAACUAUAACGGUCCUAAGGUAGCGAAAUUCCUUGUCGGGUAAGUUCCGACCUGCACGAAUGGCGUAAUGAUGGCCACGCUGUCUCCACCCGAGACUCAGUGAAAUUGAAAUCGCUGUGAAGAUGCAGUGUACCCGCGGCUAGACGGAAAGACCCCGUGAACCUUUACUACAGCUUGGCACUGAACAUUGACCCUACAUGUGUAGGAUAGGUGGGAGGCUUUGAAGCACGUACGCCAGUAUGUGUGGAGCCGUCCUUGAAAUACCACCCUUGUAGUGUUGAUGUUCUAACGUCGACCCCUAAUCGGGGUUGCGGACAGUGCCUGGUGGGUAGUUUGACUGGGGCGGUCUCCUCCCAAAGAGUAACGGAGGAGCACGAAGGUGGGCUAAUCACGGUUGGACAUCGUGAGGUUAGUGCAAUGGCAUAAGCCCGCUUGACUGCGAGAAUGACAAUUCGAGCAGGUGCGAAAGCAGGUCAUAGUGAUCCGGUGGUUCUGAAUGGAAGGGCCAUCGCUCAACGGAUAAAAGGUACUCCGGGGAUAACAGGCUGAUACCGCCCAAGAGUUCAUAUCGACGGCGGUGUUUGGCACCUCGAUGUCGGCUCAUCACAUCCUGGGGCUGAAGUCGGUCCCAAGGGUAUGGCUGUUCGCCAUUUAAAGUGGUACGCGAGCUGGGUUUAGAACGUCGUGAGACAGUUCGGUCCCUAUCUGCCGUGGGCGUUGGAAGAUUGAAGGGGGCUGCUCCUAGUACGAGAGGACCGGAGUGGACGAACCUCUGGUGUUCGGGUUGUGUCGCCAGACGCAUUGCCCGGUAGCUAAGUUCGGAAUCGAUAACCGCUGAAAGCAUCUAAGCGGGAAGCGAGCCCUGAGAUGAGUCUUCCCUGAUACUUUAAGUAUCCUAAAGGGUUGUCGGAGACUACGACGUUGAUAGGUCAGGUGUGUAAGUGCUGUGAGGCAUUGAGCUAACUGAUACUAAUUGCCCGUGAGGCUUAACCAUACAACAC
rnacentral:rRNA from 1 species